AUGAGAACAGAAGACAGACCUGGUCUGCAGACAGGCUCACUUGACCUGGGCACAUGGUCACCUGGGGUCUCCUUUCUUGUAGCCACUACCACGGCCCCUUCAGUGUUCCCCCUGAAGCCCUGCAGCGGAAGCACAUCUGACUCCAAUGUGGCCCUGGGCUGCCUGGUUACUGGCUACUUCCCGGAACCUGUGACAGUGUCCUGGAACUCUGGCACCCAAAUGACCUUCCCAGCCAUCCUGAAGUCAAAUGGCCUCUACUCCUCCAGUAGCAUAGUGACUGUUCCCUACAGCAAGUUGAACAGCCAGACCUACACCUGCAGCGUGGCCCAUCUUGCCAGCAACACCAACGUGAAAAGGGACAUUGAUUUCCUGGGAGGACCAUCUGUCUUCAUCUUCCCACCCAAGCCCAAGGACAUCCUCAUGAUCUCCCGAAACCCUGAGGUGACAUGUCUGGUAGUGGACGUGGGUCAGGAUGAUUCCAAUGUGGAGUUCAGCUGGUAUUUGGAUGGUACAAAGUUACACACAGCCAGGAAUGGGCCACAGGAGCUACAGUUCAACAGCACCUACCGCAUGGUCAGUGUGCUCCCCGUCAUGCACCAGGACUGGCUCAAAGGCAAGGAGUAUAUGUGCAAGGUCAACAAUGGAGCCCUCCCGUCACCUAUAGUGAAGACCAUCUCCAAGGCCAAAGGGACGAUCCAGGAGCCACAGGUGUAUGUCCUGCCCCCACACCGCGAUGAGCUGGCCAACAAGAAGAACAAGGUCAGCCUCACCUGCAUGAUAAUGGGAUUCUACCCAAAAGAAAUUGCUGUCGAGUGGAAAAAAAAUGAGCAGCCAGAACCUGAGAGCAACUACGUGAACACUGAUACCAAGACAGACCCUGAUGGGACACACUUCCUAUACAGCAAGCUGACGGUGCAAAAGAGCGACUGGCAGCAAGGAAACAAUUACAGCUGUGCGGUGAUGCAUGAGGCACUGCACAAUCACUACACCCAGAAAUCUGUCUCUCAGUCUCCUGAACUAUACCCGGACGAGAGCUGUGCGGAGGCCCAGGAUGGGGAGCUAGAUGGGCUGUGGACAACCAUCUCCAUCUUCAUUACACUCUUCCUACUCAGCGUAUGCUACAGUGCCACCAUCACCCUCUUCAAGGUGAAGUGGAUCUUCUCCUCAGUGGUGGAGCUGAAGCGCACGAUUGUCCCUGACUACAGGAAUAUGAUUGGACAGCCAGCUUAG